rnacentral:lncRNA from 1 species
GUGCUGUAUGAAGUGGCAUACUGUCUAUAUGCACAAACUAAAGCUGACUAUCUGUGUCCACGCAGUGAAGCCGGGUCAAUGUCCCAUACCGGAGACAAUUCCACUGUGUGCUGAAAGCUGUUUCCAUGAUGGCCAGUGUCCUGCCACAUGUUGCCCAACCACCGGUGGCAUUGCAUGCCGUGAACCACGUGGUCAGGGAAGAGGUCAGGCAAGUUGUCAGGAAAGCGGCCAUGGUCCGGGAAGCAGCCAGAGAAGUGGCCAGGGAAGUGGCGAGGGAAGCGGCCAGGGAAGCGGUUAUGGCCAGGGCAGCGGCCAGGGAAGCGGUUAUGGCCAGGGAAGCGGUUAUGGCCAGGGAAGCGGUUAUGGCCAGGGUAGCGGCCAGGGAAAGCGGUUAUGGCCAGGGUAGUGGCCAGGGAAGCGGUUAUGGCCAGGGUAGCGGCCAGGGAAGCGGUUAUGGCCAGGGCCAGGGAAGCGGUUAUGGCCAGGGAAGCGGUUAUGGCCAGGGUAACGGCCAGGGCCAGGGAAGUGGCCAUGGUCAGGGAAGCGCCCAGGGAAGCGGUUAUGGCCAGGGUAGCGGUUAUGGCCAGGGAAGCGGCUAUGGUCAGGGAAGUGGUUAUGGUCAGGGAAGUGGUUAUGGUCAGGGAAGCAGUCAGGGUCAGGGAAGUGGUUAUGGUCAGGGGAAUGGUCAGGGAUGUGGUCAAGGAAAUGGUCAAGGAUGUGGUCAUUGAAAUCAUCAUGGGACUUCUGCAUGACUCUUACUGGAGAACUUUUCAAUUCAGUGCCUUAUUCAUAUGGCAUGCUUUCCCUGUUUGCUCAAACAGUCUAGAAAGACUUUCUCAACUUUUUGUUAUUAUUAUUAUAUAAGCCUAUAAAUGCCGAGGUCCGGAUCUCACAGAUCUCAUUCUGGGAACGGCAGUGUGUUCAACUCUGUUUUUAUACAGUCUAUGGCAGAGUUCCUCAAAUCUUGCCCUGGUGGGCCAAUGCGCUGCAGAGUUUAGCUCCAACCCUGAUCAAACUCACCUACCUGUGAUUUUCUAAUGAUCCUGAAGACAUUGAUUAGCAUGCUCAGGUGUGUUUGAUUAGGGUUAGAGCUAAACUCUGCAGGAAAGUUUAUCUCGUGGGCCAGAUUUGAGGAUCCGUGGUCU